CAGCACCUCAAGUGGUCAGGAUGAUUAUUGGGCCUAAAGCAUCCGUAGCCGGCGCUGUAAGUUUUCGGUUAAAUCUGUACGCUCAACGUACAGGCUGCCGGGAAUACUGCAGCGCUAGGGAGUGGGAGAGGUAGACGGUACUCGGUAGGAAGGGGUAAAAUCCUUUGAUCUAUUGAUGACCACCUGUGGCGAAGGCGGUCUACCAGAACACGUCCGACGGUGAGGGAUGAAAGCUGGGGGAGCGAUCCGGAUUAGAUACCCGCGUAGUCC
rnacentral:rRNA from 1 species